UACGUCCAUAUAACGUUGAAACAUUGGUUCCUGUAUGAUCACCGAAGUUAGGCAAUGUUGCGUCUGGUCAGUACCUAGAUGGGUGACUGUUUGGGAAUACCAGGUGCUGUAAG